GACGAACGCUGGCGGCGUGCCUAAUACAUGCAAGUCGAACGAACUCUGGUAUUGAUUGGUGCUUGCAUCAUGAUUUACAUUUGAGUGAGUGGCGAACUGGUGAGUAACACGUGGGAAACCUGCCCAGAAGCGGGGGAUAACACCUGGAAACAGAUGCUAAUACCGCAUAACAACUUGGACCGCAUGGUCCGAGUUUGAAAGAUGGCUUCGGCUAUCACUUUUGGAUGGUCCCGCGGCGUAUUAGCUAGAUGGUGGGGUAACGGCUCACCAUGGCAAUGAUACGUAGCCGACCUGAGAGGGUAAUCGGCCACAUUGGGACUGAGACACGGCCCAAACUCCUACGGGAGGCAGCAGUAGGGAAUCUUCCACAGUGGACGAAAGUCUGAUGGAGCAACGCCGCGUGAGUGAAGAAGGGUUUCGGCUCGUAAAACUCUGUUGUUAAAGAAGAACAUAUCUGAGAGUAACUGUUCAGGUAUUGACGGUAUUUAACCAGAAAGCCACGGCUAACUACGUGCCAGCAGCCGCGGUAAUACGUAGGUGGCAAGCGUUGUCCGGAUUUAUUGGGCGUAAAGCGAGCGCAGGCGGUUUUUUAAGUCUGAUGUGAAAGCCUUCGGCUCAACCGAAGAAGUGCAUCGGAAACUGGGAAACUUGAGUGCAGAAGAGGACAGUGGAACUCCAUGUGUAGCGGUGAAAUGCGUAGAUAUAUGGAAGAACACCAGUGGCGAAGGCGGCUGUCUGGUCUGUAACUGACGCUGAGGCUCGAAAGUAUGGGUAGCAAACAGGAUUAGAUACCCUGGUAGUCCAUACCGUAAACGAUGAAUGCUAAGUGUUGGAGGGUUUCCGCCCUUCAGUGCUGCAGCUAACGCAUUAAGCAUUCCGCCUGGGGAGUACGGCCGCAAGGCUGAAACUCAAAGGAAUUGACGGGGGCCCGCACAAGCGGUGGAGCAUGUGGUUUAAUUCGAAGCUACGCGAAGAACCUUACCAGGUCUUGACAUACUAUGCAAGUCUAAGAGAUUAGACGUUCCCUUCGGGGACAUGGAUACAGGUGGUGCAUGGUUGUCGUCAGCUCGUGUCGUGAGAUGUUGGGUUAAGUCCCGCAACGAGCGCAACCCUUAUUAUCAGUUGCCAGCAUUAAGUUGGGCACUCUGGUGAGACUGCCGGUGACAAACCGGAGGAAGGUGGGGAUGACGUCAAAUCAUCAUGCCCCUUAUGACCUGGGCUACACACGUGCUACAAUGGAUGGUACAACGAGUUGCGAACUCGCGAGAGUAAGCUAAUCUCUUAAAGCCAUUCUCAGUUCGGAUUGUAGGCUGCAACUCGCCUACAUGAAGUCGGAAUCGCUAGUAAUCGCGGAUCAGCAUGCCGCGGUGAAUACGUUCCCGGGCCUUGUACACACCGCCCGUCACACCAUGAGAGUUUGUAACACCCAAAGUCGGUGGGGUAACCUUUUAGGAACCAGCCGCCUAAGGUGGGACAGAUGAUUAGGGUG
rnacentral:rRNA from 2 species